GGAGUUACACCUAUUAUAAGAAAGAAAUUUCAUUAGGCAGAUUUUCGUAGCUUAUGAUUAUCUUCAUGUUCAUUAGCUUGGCAGGCAAAUCCAUUUCUAUCUGAUUCCAGCAACAGCGGCUUCGCACUGGGAGUUGAUAACCAGCGCAUAUAAACUGGCGGUGCUGCCCUUUGCUCCACCAUUCCACCACUGCCAGGGUCACCAGUACUACGGCAAUGCCUUAGCUCUGCCAUUUUCGCUUGAUUCAGUUCCUCUGCUAAUUUUUCAUUCCAUACUGAACCUGAUGAGCCUUGCCUUCGGAAUGAUUUUGAAGAUCUCUGCAAAGAAGCCAUCAAUGGAAAAAUGAAACAGUUAUUGGAUUUUGAUGUGAAUAUAUGCAUUGUUUUUAGGACUUUUAUAUGUUGAGGGAAGAGAAAAUUGUGAGAUGAAGAAUAAGCAAAAGGGACAUAAUAUGGAAUCUACAGAUAUGUGGUGAAGACUCUUCUUUCUAAUUUUCCAGUAAAAUUUUGCUCUUCUUUUGUAAACUUGUACAGUUCUACAUUCCUCUGUUUCAGUCAAAAUAAAAGGUUGUCUUACAUGUCCAUCAUCAUUUACAGAUUUAUUUAUCAACAGAUAACGUGGCAAGAUUUGAUUGGGUCAAAAUCUCGUCAACCAAAUAAUAAGAACACACUCCUCUACUUUCUUUUUGACACCUCACCAAUCUGUAAAAGAUUAUGCAAAUGGUUAUGUACAACAAUCAUUUUCCCAAAACAAAAUAGGACCUUGCUAUAUGUAUUUUAAGAUUUACAUAAUAG
rnacentral:lncRNA from 1 species